CGGUCCCAAGCCCGGAUGAGAAAAUGUGGAGGGAACUGCAUCGUUUCCAUUAGAACUUGCAUGGUCUUGAAAUAUUUUGAUUUGAGUGACAGGGAAUGAAGGGUGUAGAAGUUACAGAGUUACUGUCGUUAAUGUAAAUGCCCGUAUAAGGCUACACUCUGUAUGUCUUUUAUUUGUUUUUUGUCUUCUCUUAUGAAGAAAAUGGUUCUUGCUUCCCAG
rnacentral:lncRNA from 1 species